CCCAAACAUUAUUACUGUUGUUGCUAUUGUUAUAGUUUUUAUUUCUGAUUUUUAAUUUAAAUUAUUAUUGAUUUGGAUUAUUGGAUUUCCCACAUCCUUUGCAAGCAUCAAAGAUGAGAUUUGUCUCUCUUUUUUCCUCUGACAGUCCUUAUACAGAAGGUGUGGGGAAGAGCAUACUACAAAGACACAGAACAAAAUGAAAACAAAAUAUGAUGAAUAUUAAACUCUCCAUUUAUGAUGAUAUAACAUGCAUAGCAUCUCCUACUACUGCAUUUUCCCAGAUAAUUUAACUACAAAAUCACAGACUGUGACCAAUAUUUUACUGCACAGCACCAGGACAGCUUUUUCACGAUGCCAGUUCUCUCAUACCAUCUGUGUAAACUUCCCUCCACUGCUUCCAAAAGUGGCUUUUUUUUUUUUUUUUCCACUGCUGGAAUCCUCCACUCAAGGAGAAAAUGUUCAAGAUGAGUUCAGUGAGCAAUUUUUUUUUUUUUUGCUAGCCAAUUAAACUGAUCAUAAAAAAUUCCCCUUCAAUUUUUUUUCUCAAUUCCCACCAUUAUGAUACUCUCCAAAAUGGUCUCUGAGGACCCUGAUUCUGGUUCUGAGGACCCUAAUUCUGGUUCUUCACAACUGUGCAUGGGGGAGGAAGAGCACUGAAGUUUGAUACUGUUUGAAGAGUCAUUGCAAUUCCUCAUCAUUCCAAAAGACUAAUGGCUAAAGGAAGAUAUUUUUGAGGACACCAAGGAGAACCUCUGCAAAGGGAAACCUGAACUUUCUGGAAGUUAAUUCACUUCCAUUGAAGCAGAAAAGCCACAGGCACAUUCCCUCCAGGAAUGUGAUGCCUCGAUAAAAAUGUUCCUCUUUUGGGGAUCCAGAGAUAAAAAUGUUCCCCUUUUGGGGAUCCAGAGUUGGAUCUCUCCAUGGCAGCUAACGGAUGGUGCUUUGAAUCCCAGUGAUUUUCACCAGGACUUGUGCUUCUACAUCUUUGAGGAGAUUUUGAUCUAUAGCCUCUAGUUGUUUAUGCUGGCAUUUCUCUGCAAAGUUUGUACCACUCCAGUAGCUACCAGGAGCUGCUGGGAACUGGCAUGGGGACAAGUCAACAGGGUGCCAAGGGCUGAAAAUGCAAACAUUACUUUUUUUGCUGGACUUGCAGAGGGACUUAGGAUGACAGAUUUCCUCUGGAGAAGUGAGGAUGACAGCGCAUGAGCAUCUGGGUGAACAGCUGGAACACACUGUCUCUCUUCCCCCUCUGCAAAAUAUAAUCCCUUGUCUUCAGUUAAUAAUUGUAAUGCCUUGUUUUCCCAGUACAAUCAGUCUACAUGCUUAUGUUCAAAUGACAAGGUAGCUUAGAGGGGGAAAAAAUAUUUCCAAAUAAUUGUUCUGCAAACAAUAUUGCUCUUUCAGAUGAACACAACAACAGAGCUGUGUUCACAAACUCCCUGUUACCAAUAUAAAUAAUUAUAAAACCAUAAAGAAAAAUAAAUGCACACAAUAACCAAAAGUCUAAACCCA
rnacentral:lncRNA from 1 species